AGCGAACGUUAGCGGCGGGCUUAACACAUGCAAGUCGAGCGAGAAAGGGGCUUCGGCCCUGAGUACAGCGGCGGACGGGUGAAUAACACGUAGGUAACCUUCCUUCCAGCGGGGGACAACGGUCCGAAAGGACCGCUAAUACCGCAUACGUUCCCUGGGACCCGUGGUCCCGGGGACGGGAAAGCUCCGCAAGGGGCGACUGGAUGAGGGGCCGUGCGUAGCAUCAGCUAGUUGGUGGGGUAAUGGCCUACCAAGGCUAAGACGCUUAGCUGGUCUGAGAGGAUGAUCAGCCACACUGGGACUGAGACACGGCCCAGACUCCUACGGGAGGCAGCAGUGGGGAAUAUUGGACAAUGGGCGCAAGCCUGAUCCAGCCACGCCGCGUGAGUGAUGAAGGCCUCGGUCGUAAAGACUCUGUGGGGAGGGGACGGAA
rnacentral:rRNA from 1 species